GCUGGGCGUGGUGGCACAUGCCUGUAAUCCCUGGGGCUUGGGAGGCUGAGGCAAGAGAAUCACGAGUUCAGUGCCAGCUUGAGCAAAAGUGAGGUGUUAAGCAACUCAGUGAAACUCUGUCUCUA
rnacentral:sRNA from 1 species